UUAGGUACUUUUUUCUCGGCCCUCUCCGAUUUCAAUGAAACUUUGUAGACAAGUUAUUUUACGCUUAUAUAAGCAAUUUUCCCUGUUAGACUGAAGUCCCGCGGUCGUGCGAUUUGAAGCGUUAUCUGCUCGAAGUAGAUUGAGUCCUGCCAUUUUCGAGCGUUUGUCGUGCGUUUUGAUCGGCUAGUAAAAAACUGGGCAGGCGGUGAUGAAAUUUUAUGACAGAUCAACUUUGACUUUAGUUUUCAUUCCGAUAAGAUUGAUUUCCUUCAAUUUAUUUCUAAGAUUACUGAGUGCGAACGAGUAAUUCCCCCGCACGGGAACCGGCCGCGGCCAAUUGCGCUGAAAGAGGCUAUCGUCGCCGAAGGAACCGAUCCGGAGGUCCACGACGAUUGGUGUGGAUUCGGAUCUCCGAUCAAGAGGACAACAGUCUGUGCCGAUGACCAUCAGGUCAUCUGAGACGAGGCGGUGGAAGAAGUGACGAAGGCAGAAUGUACCUGCAUGUAUGUAUCAACCAUGGCAAGCAAAAGUAAGCCGAAGACAACAACAAAAUUGUAAAGAACAGUAUUUAUCCUGAAAAAAUAAAAAGUGUGCUUGUUUGCAAUUGAAA